AUGAAGUGGCGCCAAGCUUCUGGCAUUCUCUGUGACAUGAGAGUGCCACAAAAGCUAAAAGGCAAGUUCUACAGGACGGUGGUUCGACCCGCAAUGUUGUAUGGCGCGGAGUGUUGGCCGACUAAAAGGCGACAUGUUCAACAGUUAGGUGUGGCGGAGAUGCGUAUGUUGAGAUGGAUGUGUGGCCACACGAGGAAGGAUCGAGUCCGGAAUGAUGAUAUACGAGAUAGAGUUGAGGUAGCACCAAUUGAGGAGAAGCUUGUCCAACAUUGUUUGAGAUGGUUUGGGCAUAUUCAGCGCAGGCCUCCAGAAGCUCCACUGCAUAGCGGACGGCUAAAGCGUGCGGAGAAUGUCAAGAGAGGGCGGGGUCGACCGAUUUUGACAUGGGAGGAGUCCGUUAAGAGAGACCUGAAGGAUUGGAGUAUCGACAAAGAGCUAGCUAUGGACAGGGGUGCGUGGAAGCUUGCUAUCCAUGUGCCAGAGCCAUGA
rnacentral:rRNA from 1 species